UGUUAAAAAUUUCAUCUAUUUGUACUAUUAAAAAUUGGCAUGGCUGAUGAGAUAACCAGAUAAUGGCACAUGGCAUACCACGUGUACCUCAUGCUAAUAUACAUGGAUCAAUUUUUAACAGUAGAAAAGGAUGAAUUUUUUAACA
rfam:Gossypium raimondii Chr06_contig_1309, whole genome shotgun sequence.